rnacentral:rRNA from 1 species
AAUCUUCCGCAAUGGACGAAAGUCUGACGGAGCAACGCCGCGUGAGUGAUUAAGGUUUUCGGAUCGUAAAACUCUGUUGUUAGGGUAGAACAAGUAUCGGAGUCACUUCCGGUACCUUGACGGUACCUGACGAGAAAGCCACGGCCAACUACGUGCCAGCAGCCGCGGUAACACGUAGGUCGCAAGCGUUGUCCGGAAUCAUUGGGCGUAAAGCGCGCGCAGGCGGUCUCUUAAGUCUGAUGUGAAAUCUCGUGGCUCAACCACGAACGGUCAUUGGAAACUGGGGGACUUGAGUACAGAAGAGAAGAGCGGAAUUCCACGUGUAGCGGUGAAAUGCGUAGAGAUGCGGAGGAACACCAGUGGCGAAGGCGGCUCUUUGGUCUGUAACUGACGCUGAGGCGCGAAAGCGUGGGGAGCGAACA